GUAGACAUAGAGCUGCUCUAGAGCUCUAUGUCAGCAGUUGUAUGCCAACAGGAAAUGUGGUAUUUUAAUACUUCCGAAGGGUCUCUGCCCCUCCUGUGUGUACGACACAUCCUUGCAGGAGCCCACCCUUUAUCUUAUCUAACUUGUAGGGAGCCUGGCACAUCCAGUCUUACCCGCUGGCCUCCAAAGCAUGUGCAGGAGCAAAUGGCACCGAGAUAUUCCUUCUGCCACUGUUCUCCUACGUGGUAUGUCUUCCCAUCAUCAUAACACGUUGCCUCAUCUGCAUAUAGACACAAGACAGAUGCACGCAUAAGCUGAGAACAAUACUGCAGACUUGAUCUAGGGAUGGUCAAACAUGGAAGUCUAUAUUGAAAACACUGGCUGGCUUUUACAACUUCAGUCUGGAUUAAAUGAUUUCAAGUAUACAAGUUAAGUAAAAUACUUUGAAAAUCUCUUUUACCAAGUCUUAUAUUCUAAUUCCACAGGAUAUGAUUUCUGUAUGUCUAUAGGAGGCUUAUUUAUAGGCAUAACGGUCAACACCUAUAAAAAUGAACCAAUUGUCAAUAAUCAUCACAUCUCCUAAACACAAAGAAUAAAUGAAAGGUUUAUAAAUUCUAAUCCUAAUCUCAAAGCAUAAUAGAUAUUUCCUAGGCACAUUUUAACUUAAAAAAUUUGAAAAUUAAAACGUAUUAGAAUUUGAAAAUCAAACAUUUAUCAAUUCAAGUUGAUUUUUAAUGAUCUAAAAGCAGAUUAUCUGUUUUUUCUUUCAUAUUUCUAGCAACGUUCAAGCUACCUGGGCUAUGUGUGUGACGCAAAAGUGUGUGCAUGGGUACUAUGAUAUGUGCAUGUUUGGUUUAUGUUGAAGGAGGCUGUUUUUGAGUCUAAAUGUUCACCUCUGAUCUCAUUCAACACUGAAGAUUAAAAGAGAUUUGAGGUUUUUCUGUGUCUCUAAUACUCUUAAAUAGACCUGGUUCCAAAAGUCUUUAUCCAUUUGUUUUCACAGAAAAUUUCAAAAAUCAAAUUAGCACCAUAAUCUUAUGUGUAAUUAAUAGUUGUAUUGGCAUACAACCCUUGAAAUGAAGCAAUGUCCAACAAGUAAAAUUUCCCAUCAUUUUUCUAUGAUGCAAAAUAUUACUUCGAGUCAAACAGUAUUCUCUUGUUUGCUUCAUGUUUGGAAGAACCUGUGUCUUCCAAACAUGCUUCCUUGGCACAUGAGUGCAUGCAUGGAACUUGAGGAGACAAACACGGAAGUGGAUGGACAAAGCAACUACUCACUAGAUGAAUCACAUCUGAAAUGACCACUUCCAAAGCCUAAGCACUGGCACAACAGUUUAAAGCCUGAUUCAGACAUUCGUUCCCACUCAUCUCCAACGGCAUAAUGGGAAACUGUGUAGGGGUCAAAGCACGAGUCAUCCGUAGGUUGGUUCAAGC
rnacentral:lncRNA from 1 species